AUAUUCCUAGCAGCUAAAUUGUGCUUUGAUUGCACUCGAGGUCCUUGAGAAACAAACAGGUAAACAAAAGGCAAACUUUGUUGGCAAAAUUAAAUAUAUACGACCGAUGUGAAUCACAAACACAUAACGGGGUAUAUUGUUAUACACUGAAUGAGGGAAAGAGAGACCUUCCACGCGCAAACUGAUCUAUCGGCAAACUGUCGAAGAAUUGUUGAUACCGAUACCACUAACAAAGCCGCCAUACACAUAGGCCAGCCUGACGGACCUUUCAUGCAUGUUCGCACAUACAUGACCGUAGCCACAGCCAUACCCACAGGCAUACCCAUACCCAAACCCAUAUCCACAACCAUACCCACUCGCAUACCCAUACCCAAACCCAUAUCCACACCACGCCCAGGCCAGGGUCUUGCCAACUUUCAGAUAUCCCCAAAUAGGUGCAUAAUUGGUGCAUCGCACUCUCCGAUAAUUGGUAGUACUGGCUCCAUGCUGGCAAAUACGAUCCUCCCACCAGUCGAAGGCACUCUCUCCACCCGGGGCUCCAUUCGGGGGCUUUUGAGUGGCGCUCUCGGCAAAUGGUUCGCCAUUAGUCGAAGAGAUAAUGAUAAUGUCGAUAACACCACGAGUAUCUUAUCGUUCAGCAUUGAACGGACACACACAUUCGCGGGCUUACAGCCAAACCUAGGCAAACCUAUAUGAAUCGUGCCAGGCUCUCGCGUUGCGUUGAACUGCCCCCUUGACUCACUCAUCCCGCUUCACAUGGCUGUGGCGUCUGUGCACCCCAACUAUCCCCAACACUAUCCACUGGCCCAGCAGAAGAGACCAUGACCAAACCCUAUCUGCCCGUUAACAUGAAUCAUGGAUUUAACAACAUCUAAUUUGUCAUAUUAAUGUUUCAAUGGAACCCCUGCUCUUACCACUCCGAAUCUCGUGAAUUGCUCAGUUGUGAUGGACGCCUAAACGAAGGAUACAGCGACGCAUCCCAGAAAGAAAUUAAACCAAUUUAGAAUCAAAGAUGGCUUACUCCUCAAAAUUACCCUCUAAAUCAAAGUUUAAAUUACCUAACCAAACAUAUCCCGACUUCAGAGAGGAACAUUAUACUUCUUAAUUUCUUUGUACAUUUUAAUUUAAGCUAUAGAUCUAGCCAUAUUUGUUGGGGACACCGCCCCUGUUUCUCGCUAUCAAAAAAAAGCUUUCAUUAAAUUAGAAAGAGCAUCAUACCAAGUUUUCCAUUUUUAUAUGAAGUAUAUAUAUUAGGUGGAAUGGCGAUUUUUUGGCAUAUGUUUUGAAUGUUUUUGUGGAAAUUCGAGUUUCGUUAUUUAUUAUAUUCAACCUCGCCUCAAUGGGCAAUAUUACCGUUUUUAUCAAACACUAUAAUUUUUAAGACAUUAUUAUUUUGUAUAUUUUUAAGGCCAUAGUGAUGGCUCUGUUUUUGUUUGU